GGAGAGGUGUCCGAGUGGUUGAAGGAGCACGCUUGGAAAGCGUGUGUACAAGAAAUUGUACCAAGGGUUCGAAUCCCUUUCUCUCCGCCA
rnacentral:tRNA from 1 species